CGAGAUAGCGACAAUGUGCUUUACACGGCGAUGAUGGGUAGAUCGUAAAGACGCUGUGAAUACAUCCCUGUACGCUCGAGUUGCGCCAUCCCUGGCGCAAACGCUUU
rnacentral:ncRNA from 1 species